AGCGAACGCUGGCGGCAGGCCUAACACAUGCAAGUCGAACGAACUCUUCGGAGUUAGUGGCGGACGGGUGAGUAACACGUGGGAACGUGCCUUUUGGUUCGGAAUAACUCAGGGAAACUUGUGCUAAUACCGAAUGUGCCCUUCGGGGGAAAGAUCUAUCGCCAUUGGAGCGGCCCGCGUCUGAUUAGCUAGUUGGUGAGGUAACGGCUCACCAAGGCGACGAUCAGUAGCUGGUCUGAGAGGAUGACCAGCCACACUGGGACUGAGACACGGCCCAGACUCCUACGGGAGGCAGCAGUGGGGAAUCUUGCGCAAUGGGCGAAAGCCUGACGCAGCCAUGCCGCGUGAAUGAUGAAGGUCUUAGGAUUGUAAAAUUCUUUCACCGGGGACGAUAAUGACGGUACCCGGAGAAGAAGCCCCGGCUAACUUCGUG
rnacentral:rRNA from 1 species